UCGGGAAUUUUGGGCAAUGGGCGAAAGCCUGACUCAGCAACGCCGCGUGAGGGAUGAAGUAUUUCGGUAUGUAAACCUCGAAAGAAUGGGAAGAAUAAAUGACGGUACCAUUUAUAAGCUCCGGCUAACUACGUGCCAGCAGCCGCGGUAAUACGUAGGGAGCAAGCGUUGUUCGGAUUUACUGGGCGUAAAGGGCGCGUAGGCGGCGCGGUAAGUCACUUGUGAAAUCUCUGAGCUUAACUCAGAACGGCCAAGUGAUACUGCUGUGCUAGAGUGCGGAAGAGGCAACCGGAAUUCUUGGUGUAGCGGUGAAAUGCGUAGAUAUCAAGAGGAACACCUGAGGCGAAGGCGGGUUGCUGGGCCGACACUGACGCUGAUGCGCGAAAGCCAGGGGAGCAAACG
rnacentral:rRNA from 1 species